GAUGAACGCUGGCGGCGUGCCUAAUACAUGCAAGUCGAACGAAACUUCUUUAUCACCGAGUGCUUGCACUCACCGAUAAAGAGUUGAGUGGCGAACGGGUGAGUAACACGUGGGCAACCUGUCCAAAAGAGGGGGAUAACACUUGGAAACAGGUGCUAAUACCGCAUAACCAUAGUUACCGCAUGGUAACUAUGUAAAAGGUGGCUAUACUACCGCUUUUGGAUGGGCCCGCGGCGCAUUAGCUAGUUGGUAGGGUAAAGGCUUACCAAGGCAAUGAUGCGUAGCCGAAUUGAGAGGUUGAUCGGCCACAUUGGGACUGAGACACGGCCCAAACUCCUACGGGAGGCAGCAGUAGGGAAUCUUCCACAAUGGGCGAAAGCCUGAUGGAGCAACGCCGCGUGGGUGAAGAAGGUCUUCGGAUCGUAAAACCCUGUUGUUAGAGAAGAAAGUGCGUGAGAGUAACUGUUCACGUUUCGACGGUAUCUAACCAGAAAGCCACUGCUAACUACGUG
rnacentral:rRNA from 1 species